UUCGGGAAACCGGAGCUAAUACCGGAUAAUAUUUUGAACCGCAUGGUUCAAAAGUGAAAGACGGUCUUGCUGUCACUUAUAGAUGGAUCCGCGCUGCAUUAGCUAGUUGGUAAGGUAACGGCUUACCAAGGCAACGAUGCAUAGCCGACCUGAGAGGGUGAUCGGCCACACUGGAACUGAGACACGGUCCAGACUCCUACGGGAGGCAGCAGUAGGGAAUCUUCCGCAAUGGGCGAAAGCCUGACGGAGCAACGCCGCGUGAGUGAUGAAGGUCUUCGGAUCGUAAAACUCUGUUAUUAGGGAAGAACAUAUGUGUAAGUAACUGUGCACAUCUUGACGGUACCUAAUCAGAAAGCCACGGCUAACUACGUGCCAGCAGCCGCGGUAAUACGUAGGUGGCAAGCGUUAUCCGGAAUUAUUGGGCGUAAAGCGCGCGUAGGCGGUUUUUUAAGUCUGAUGUGAAAGCCCACGGCUCAACCGUGGAGGGUCAUUGGAAACUGGAAAACUUGAGUGCAGAAGAGGAAAGUGGAAUUCCAUGUGUAGCGGUGAAAUGCGCAGAGAUAUGGAGGAACACCAGUGGCGAAGGCGACUUUCUGGUCUGUA
rnacentral:rRNA from 1 species